AAGACGGCCCUACGGGUUGUAAACUGCUUUUAUACCGGAAUAAACCUUUCUACGUGUAGGAAGCUGAAUGUACGGUAAGAAUAAGGAUCGGCUAACUCCGUGC
rnacentral:rRNA from 1 species